GAUGAACGCUGGCGGCGUGCUUAACACAUGCAAGUCGAACGAAGCAUUUAAGACAGAUUACUUCGGUUUGAAGUCUUUUAUGACUGAGUGGCGGACGGGUGAGUAACGCGUGGGUAACCUGCCUCAUACAGGGGGAUAGCAGCUGGAAACGGCUGGUAAUACCGCAUAAGCGCACAGUACCACAUGGUACAGUGUGAAAAACUCCGGUGGUAUGAGAUGGACCCGCGUCUGAUUAGCUUGCUGGCGGGGUAACGGCCCACCAAGGCGACGAUCAGUAGCCGACCUGAGAGGGUGACCGGCCACAUUGGGACUGAGACACGGCCCAGACUCCUACGGGAGGCAGCAGUGGGGAAUAUUGCACAAUGGAGGAAACUCUGAUGCAGCGACGCCGCGUGAGUGAAGAAGUAGUUCGCUAUGUAAAGCUCUAUCAGCAGGGAAGAUAGUGACGGUACCUGACUAAGAAGCUCCGGCUAAAUACGUG
rnacentral:rRNA from 1 species